rnacentral:rRNA from 1 species
GCCAGACUCCUACGGGAGGCAGCAGUGGGGAAUAUUGCACAAUGGGCGAAAGCCUGAUGCAGCAACGCCGCGUGAGUGAUGAAGGCCUUCGGGUCGUAAAACUCUGUCCUCAAGGAAGAUAAUGACGGUACUUGAGGAGGAAGCCCCGGCUAACUACGUGCCAGCAGCCGCGGUAAUACGUAGGUGGCAAGCGUUAUCCGGAUUUACUGGGUGUAAAGGGCGUGUAGGCGGGAAAGCAAGUCAGAUGUGAAAACCAUGGGCUCAACCUGUGGCCUGCAUUUGAAACUGUUUUUCUUGAGUACUGGAGAGGCAGACGGAAUUCCUAGUGUAGCGGUGAAAUGCGUAGAUAUUAGGAGGAACACCAGUGGCGAAGGCGGCUUUCUGGACUGAAACUGACGCUGAGGCACGAAAGCGUGGGGAGCGAACAGGAUUAGAUACCCUAGUAC